AUGAACGCUAGCUACAGGCUUAACACAUGCAAGUCGAGGGGCAGCAUGGUCUUAGCUUGCUAAGGCCGAUGGCGACCGGCGCACGGGUGAGUAACGCGUAUCCAACCUGCCUUACACUCUUGGACAGCCUUCUGAAAGGGAGAUUAAUACAAGAUGUUAUCAUGAGUAAGCAUUUUCGCAUGAUUAAAGGUUUACCGGUGUAAGAUGGGGAUGCGUUCCAUUAGAUAGUAGGCGGGGUAACGGCCCACCUAGUCUUCGAUGGAUAGGGGUUCUGAGAGGAAGGUCCCCCACAUUGGAACUGAGACACGGUCCAAACUCCUACGGGAGGCAGCAGUGAGGAAUAUUGGUCAAUGGACGAGAGUCUGAACCAGCCAAGUAGCGUGAAGGAUGAAGGUUCUAUGGAUUGUAAACUUCUUUUAUACGGGAAUAAACGGAUCCACGUGUGGAUUUUUGCAUGUACCGUAUGAAUAAGGAUCGGCUAACUCCGUGCCAGCAGCCGCGGUAAUACGGAGGAUCCGAGCGUUAUCCGGAUUUAUUGGGUUUAAAGGGAGCGUAGAUGGGUUGUUAAGUCAGUUGUGAAAGUUUGCGGCUCAACCGUAAAAUUGCAAUUGAUACUGGCAGUCUUGAGUACAGUUGAGGUAGGCGGAAUUCGUGGUGUAGCGGUGAAAUGCUUAGAUAUCACGAAGAACUCCGAUUGCGGAGGCAGCUUACUAACCUGUAACUGACAUUGAUGCUCGAAAGUGUGGGUAUCAAACAGGAUUAGAUACCCUGGUAGUCCACACGGUAAACGAUGAAUACUCGCUGUAGGCGAUAUACAGUCUGCGGCCAAGCGAAAGCAUUAAGUAUUCCACCUGGGGAGUACGCCGGCAACGGUGAAACUCAAAGGAAUUGACGGGGGCCCGCACAAGCGGAGGAACAUGUGGUUUAAUUCGAUGAUACGCGAGGAACCUUACCCGGGCUUAAAUUGCAACCGAAUAUGGCGGAAACGCUAUAGCUAGCAAUAGCGGUUGUGAAGGUGCUGCAUGGUUGUCGUCAGCUCGUGCCGUGAGGUGUCGGCUUAAGUGCCAUAACGAGCGCAACCCUUGCCGAUAGUUACUAACAGGUCAUGCUGAGGACUCUGUCGGGACUGCCAUCGUAAGAUGUGAGGAAGGUGGGGAUGACGUCAAAUCAGCACGGCCCUUACGUCCGGGGCUACACACGUGUUACAAUGGGGGGUACAGAGGGCUGCUACCACGCAAGUGGAUGCCAAUCCCAAAAACCUCUCUCAGUUCGGAUUGAAGUCUGCAACCCGACUUCAUGAAGCUGGAUUCGCUAGUAAUCGCGCAUCAGCCACGGCGCGGUGAAUACGUUCCCGGGCCUUGUACACACCGCCCGUCAAGCCAUGGGAGCCGGGGGUACCUGAAGUGCGUAACCGCAAGGAGCGCCCUAGGGUAAAACUGGUGACUGGGGCU
rnacentral:rRNA from 1 species